GAUAGACUGUGUUCUAAUCUUACCCCGGAAUCCUCCUCCUCGAUCUUUCUUGCUCUUCUGCAGUGAGGUGGCUGGGGUGGAGAUGGGUGAGGCCAUCCGCGGCAUCCUCCUACACGGCCGUGUGGCUUCAGAAGCUCGUGCUCUCUGUCCUCGCGACCGCGUAUGCGAAGGUUGUGGACGGAUCUGAUGCGCCGGCGACGCGGCCGGGCCGGUGUUAGGGACCUGGGCUGGGAGUGGCAUAGCUAGCUCGUACGACGGACGGCGCCCCUGUCACAUCUUCCGCUCGUCCUCGUCUGCGGCGUCGCCCGCCGUCUGAACGGGAGGGGAAGAAUCACGGCUAUUAUAUUAGUCCACUUCUCCAUUCCUUCCUUCCGCAAGCACAAGACGGCGCUUCAGUUGGAUCCCUUCCUUGUACUGGAGUACGGCAUUCGCCACAGCAGACCAGCGGCCGAGCAAUGGCAGCAGCCUUCUCCUUUGCCCGUGUGGCUGCUCUCUUCUUCCUGGUCGCUGCCCAUCCCCAUGGAUGCUGCGGCUGCGGUUUUCUGCCCGAUCUGUUCUGUUACCCACCUCCGCCUGCCCCCACCACCAAUGUCCCCGCCACCAACGUCCCUGCAUCCAAUAUCCCCACCUCCAACUCCAGCUCCGGCGGCGGCGGCGGCACCAACGGCGACGGUGGGGGCUGGCUCGAUGCCCGGGCCACCUGGUACGGCGCUCCCAAUGGCGCCGGCCCGUACGACAACGGUGGCGCUUGCGGGUUCAAGAACGUCAACUGGCCGCCUUUCUCGUCAAUGACGUCGUGCGGCAACCAGCCGCUCUUCAAGGACGGCAAGGGGUGCGGCUCAUGCUACCAGAUCAGGUGCGUGGCCCAUCGUGCCUGCUCCGGCGUCCCGGAAACGGUGAUCAUCACGGACAUGAACUACUACCCGGUCUCCCGCUAUCAUUUUGACCUCAGCGGCACCGCCUUCGGCGCCAUGGCCAAGUACGGCCGCAACGACGAGCUCCGCCACGCUGGCAUCAUCGACAUGCAGUUCAAGAGGGUGCCGUGCCAGUACCCGGGGCUCACGGUGACGUUCCGCGUGCAGCACGGGUCCAACCCCAACUACCUGGCGAUCCUGGUGGAGUACGAGGACGGCGACGGCGACGUGGCGCAGGUGGACAUAAUGGAGUCACGGCUGCCGGACAGGGCGCCGACGGGGUACUGGACGCCGAUGAGGGAGUCGUGGGGAUCCAUCUGGCGCCUGGACAGGCUCCGCCCGCUGCAGGGGCCAUUCUCGCUGCGCGUCACCGACGAGUCCGGCAGGUCGGUCGUCGCCAAUCAGGUCAUCCCGGCAUACUGGCAGCCCAAUGCCGCCUACAGGUCCUUGGUCCAGUUCGAUGAGACGUUACCUCUGUCGCUUGUGACAUCCGGUGCCACGACCCGUCGUCUCCUUGUUCUACCUAUGCCUAUGUCUAUGUAUUCGGCCGCACGUACGUAUGUGUGGCCUUGUGUACGUUCGAUACUGGCCCUGGCCGUGUGAUCAUCUGCGCUGCAGGACGAAGAAACAAAAGAUUGAACCUGGAGUUUGUUGUCUGUGUUGCAGUGUGUGAGUAGGAAGGACAGCUCGUAUUUAGAUUGCC